rnacentral:rRNA from 1 species
GACGAACGCUGGCGGCGUGCUUAACACAUGCAAGUCGAACGGAAAGGCCCUGCUUUUGUGGGGUGCUCGAGUGGCGAACGGGUGAGUAACACGUGAGUAACCUGCCCUUGACUUUGGGAUAACUUCAGGAAACUGGGGCUAAUACCGGAUAGGAGCUCCUGCUGCAUGGUGGGGGUUGGAAGGUUUCGGCGGUUGGGGAUGGACUCGCGGCUUAUCAGCUUGUUAGUGGGGUAGUGGCUUACCAAGGCUUUGACGGGUAGCCGGCCUGAGAGGGUGACCGGCCACAUUGGGACUGAGAUACGGCACAGAGUCCUACGGGAGGCAGCAGUGGGGAAUAUUGCACAAUGGGCGGAAGCCUGAUGCAGCAACGCCGCGUGCGGGAUGACGGCCUUCGGGUUGUAAACCGCUUUCGCCUGUGACGAAGCGUGAGUGACGGUAAUGGGUAAAGAAGCACCGGCUAACUACGUG